rnacentral:rRNA from 1 species
UAUUAAGAGCAAACGAUCUAACGCACCCAAUCUCGUCAGAUCUUGGAAGCAAAGCAGGGUCGGGCCUGGUUAGUACUUGGAUGGGAGACCGCCUGGGAACACCGGGUGCCAUAGGCU